rnacentral:rRNA from 1 species
UACGGGGGGAGCAAACGUUGUUCGGAAUCACUGGGCGUAAAGGGCGUGUAGGCGGCUGGAUAAGUGGGAUGUUAAAUCCCCCGGCUCAACCGGGGACCUGCAUCUCAUACUGUUCAGCUCGAGCACAUCAGAGGAGACUGGAAUUCCCGGUGUAGCGGUGAAAUGCGUAGAGAUCAGGAGGAACACCCAUGGCGAAGGCAGCUCUCUGGUCGACCUCUGACGCUGAGACGCGAAAGCGUGGGGAGCGAACGGG